ACUACAGGUUGUCUGUAUUGACGAUUGAGAGAGAGAUGGGGACUACUGAUUAGUGAUCAGAAUCCUAAUUUACUGUGAGCUACAUAUGCUUAUAUACCAUUCU